rnacentral:lncRNA from 1 species
CUUUCCUGUAAUUGGUGGACGAUGAUGGUGAGCUGUGCGGAGGCCGCUACGAGCAACGUCAGGGGCACAGUGUAGUCGAUUCUCGGGCAACGAGAGUGGAGACCAUUGUGGUUGGAUACCAUGUCGUAACGAUCGUAGAGUUCUUUGCAGGGCGUAAGGUGUAGUUCGUAGUGCUGUGCGGAGUAUGACGUUGCGCAGCUGUAGUUGUGAUUUUUGUUAGAGCGUCUAUCUGAGUCGUGUAGGUUUUGUCACGGUCGCAUCCUGUGGCCCGUCCGCGCACUGUGUGUAUGUAUGUUUUCUUGAACAUCGGUUUAAGGCGUCACAAUCGAGAAUUUUCGUGAGGGUAUGGGUGAUUGAAGGGUAUGCCUUCAUAGAUGCCCCACAGUGUUGCGUCGUGCUAGCUUUUUGGCUUAACAUUGGCGUGUAUGGUCGUGUGGCAAAACAUUAAGGCGAAUGGUUGCAGUGUGUUGCAGGGCUGUUCAGAGCGAGGUCGGGGAAAGGUCCAUCGCGGUCCCUCACCAUGAACCGUUGAUGAUCUUUAAGCUGGUUACGCUGGGUGUGGGAAAUGGUUGUGGUCGGACUUGGAGUAUUAAUAUUCCUUGAGCGUGGUUUUUUGUGUGGAGCUCUGAUUUGGUGGAAAAUAUUCUUUUGCAUUCCUCUGCAUUCUUUUUCUCAAGUGAUGAGUGAAUGGGAAAGCAGGUGGUGGUUGCUACUCAUUGCAGGUGGAUAGAGAGCUGUAUACGUCGAUAUCGAGCUUAAGCGUCCGGUUGGCUUGACGUCGUCGUAUAUGGUCGUGUGGCAAAGCAUUGAGGCAAAUGGUGGCAGUGUAUUUCUUUAUAAUUGGAAGCUAGGCCGGAGAAAGAUCCAGUGCGGUUCCUCACCAUGAACGUUCGAUGAUCCUGAAGUUUAUGCCGCUGGGAGCAGGGAAUGGUUGUCGUUGGACUUGGAGAGUUAAUAUUCCAUCGUGGAUUUGUGAGUAGAUCCUUGGUUUGGCGGAAAGAUGGAGGAUAUAGCAUUGGGUGAUGGAUGUUGGUGAUGGAUGCUGUUUUUGAGGAUUUGUUUUUGAGCAUGGAAGCUUUGCUAGAUUUGUAGGACAGGUCAAGUGCUGGUGCGCUGUUUUUCGCAUCACGCCAUCUCAUGGUCAAGGGAUCAUCCAUUGUAUUCGUCUUGUAUGAGUACAUGGUUUAUAAGCUUCUUUUGGGCAAAGUUAUACAAUGCAGAGUUUUACAGGAAUUGCACAAUUAAUUGAAUUUUCAUUGUGCUUUACGUUGCAAUGUAAAGAAAUUAUACAAAAUUCAUUGAGUAGGAGUAAGCAACGAUGCUCAUUUAUUACGAUCAAUCAACAUUGAUAUUCAUUUUACAACUUAAAUUCAUUUUAUUAUAAAAGAAAAUAAAAAUAAAAACUCUCUGACUUUAUAAUGAUCGACAUCAAGUUUUAUUGUAGGUUGGAUAUUUUGGGCUGUCUUGCUCAAAACCAAGCAAAUGAAUUUAUUUGCAAUAUUUUUAUGACAAUCAAAGUUCACUUACUCCAGCCACAUCAAGUUUACUUUUAUUCAUGUUGAAAUCAUAUUUUAUAAAUGACAAGUUGCUAGUAAUGGAAAGCUUAAUUAAAUUGCAAAGUCCAUUGGGAGGAAAAUUUGAGCAAUUAUUGUUUUUUAAUACUUUGGAGUGUAGGCAUGAAGACUAAAAAGGAAAAAUCAUAACUUUUCACCAGUCUUUUGUAAAAGAACCAUAAAUAGAAGAAUUUUGUGCUUGAUUUUUUUGAUUCUACAUUGCACACAUUUUGCAUCCUUUGAUUAUCAUCUUUCUCUCCUCUAUAAGAGAAGCUAGGAUAUCAUUGUUAAAUACAUGUUUAUAUAGGGAUUUUAUAAGAAAUAAAGUCAUUUUAUUAUUUUAUAUUAAUAGUUUUUAUCUUUAUAAUUAUAUUUAUAAUUUUUAUAGUUUUCAUAUUAAAAUUAUUAUAUUACAUUUUAUAUUAUAUCUUCAUUGUAAACAAAAUUCUUUAGCAACAAAGUUUUAUUGGAAUUUUAUGAGUAUUGUCAACUACAACAAGAAUUGUUGUCCAAAAAUUAAUGCAAUUCAUUACAACAAAGGCACAAAUCAUUUAUCUUUCCU